CGCAGCCGCGGUAAUUCCAGCUCCAAUAGCGUAUAUUAAAGUUGUUGCAGUUAAAAAGCUCGUAGUUGAAUUUCGGGAUCAAUGUAUCGGUCAUGCUUAGGUAUGUACUGGUAUUAUUGAUUUCUCCCUUCUGAAGAACCAUGAUGUCAUUUAUUUGAUGUCGUGGGGAAUCAGGACUGUUACUUUGAAAAAAUUAGAGUGUUUAAAGCAGGCUUUCGCUUGAAUACAUUAGCAUGGAAUAAUGAAAUAGGACGUUUGAUUCUAUUUUGUUGGUUUCUAGGACCGACGUAAUGAUUAAUAGGGAUAGUUGGGGGCAUUAGUAUUCAAUUGUCAGAGGUGAAAUUCUUGGAUUUAUUGAAGACUAACUACUGCGAAAGCAUUUGCCAAGGAUGUUUUCAUUAAUCAAGAACGAAAGUUAGGGGAUCGAAGACGAUCAGAUACCGUCGUAGUCUUAACCAUAAACUAUGCCGACUAGGGAUCGGAUGAUGUUAAUUUUUAAUGACUCAUUCGGCGCCUUAAC
rnacentral:rRNA from 1 species